GGACUACCAGGGUUUCUAAUCCUGUUUGCUCCCCAUGCUCUCGUGCCUCAGUGUCAAUCAAGGCGUAGCCACCUGCCUACGCAAUUGGUGUUCUGGAUCAUAUCUAUGCAUUUCACCGCUACACGAUCCGUUCCGGUGGCCUCCACCCCAUUCAAGACGCCCAGUAUCCAGCCCCACUGACCGUUGAGCGGCCAGCUUUUAAGCCAGACUUAAACACCCACCUACGCACCCUUUAAACCCAAUAAAUCCGGACAACGCUUGCACCCUCCGUAUUACCGCGGCGGCUGGCACAA
rnacentral:misc_RNA from 1 species